GCACUUGCUUUAACAGAACAUAUAUGAAGAUUGGAAUGACACAGAGAUUAUCAUGUCCCCUGCCUAAAGAUGACAUGCAAAUGCAUAAAGCAUUACAUAUUUUU
rnacentral:snRNA from 1 species